rnacentral:lncRNA from 10 species
GGAGCUGGAAGGGCUGUGGCAGCAGAAACAUGAGACCCAGACCCGGAGCCAACCUGACUCCAUCAAUAUCUUCCUGCUCAGCACUUCAGAAAUGUUUCCUGUAUUAACUUCUUUGGACAGUAAUUAAGGAAGGAAGGAUAUUUUUGAAAGAGCAACUUAUAAAUGCGGAACAGAUAUCUAAAUGUGCUCUGGGUUGGACAUGUUUUACAACUAGGAUUUUCACAAGUGAAUUUUUUCCCUGUUUUUCUUGCUCUGGCCUCUCAUGGCUAUGGGGAAGUGACUUCAAGGCGUUAUGGAUUUUGGAUGUUGCCAAGUCAAUCUACCACAGAAUGUGUGGCUUUGGAGAGCAGAAAUGACAUACCUCCAUCUAUUGUCCUGAAGAGCAGUCAGUGUUUUGAAUCUCUAUGAGGGUUGGCUUCUUCACCUGCUAGGGAUAUGGCUAUCAGCAAGAAAACACAUGUGGAAAGGCUCAGGCUGAUGGUGGGGGAAAGGUGAGGCCCUAUUUCUCUGAAUUUUAAUAUUCAUAGUUUAUAUUUCUUGAAACAUUCCUUGAUGUGUUGUAUAUCCUUUUAAGUGCAUUCUGUUGUUACAGAGUUCAUCAGAAGGUGUUUGUAGCUUGGCUCCUUCUGAAGAUCCCAAGUUUCUUGACCUGCCCAACUCUUCAAGAAUGAACAAUUUCAUCCACUUUACUACCUAUACAAUAAGAUACAGUGAAUCCCUGUUUCUGCGAGAUCCUCAAUUUAAACCUUAUUCAAGAUAUAACUCUUAAUUUUACUUUCUAUGCAAGUUUGAUAUGCUAUAUUCUUAACACAAUCAUGAAAUGACAAUUCUGUGUUCUAUAGACUUUGUCCCUGGACUAAUUUACAUGAUGCACUAUAGCCCCCAUUUAAGCUAAACCCAUAAGUAGCUAAAGGCAUAUGACAGUGCACAGCAAAUACAUGUGUUACAAAUAUCCGUAUGCAAAAUACCCUGGUCAAUAGUAUGUGAUUCAGGUAAUAGAUUCUGUGGAGGGACUCCAAUGGAUGGGGGAGGGUAAAAGUGCAGGAAUUUACAAGUACGGGUUCCUUAAGAGAGAUCAUAACAUUGACAUAGUUACGAGAUCUGGUUGGUGGCACAGCAGAAGUUGACGAUAUAAUAGAAAUGAAUCUUUCGCUCUCUCUUUCCUCCUUUUUUCUAAAUGCUUCCAGAGAAAUAAGUAACUGUUGUAUUGAAAACUUGCAAACCCAUUCUGUGUUCCUGAGAUAUCUUUGCUAUGUUAUUAUUGAACUUGGGCUAUUCUUCAUGUAAAUGUUUUCAUGGUAGUGGAUCUUUACAUGAAUUAACUCACCUUCAAGAUGACUGAGAGCUGUUAGUACAUUCCCUCUCCUAGACACAGAAAAGACUUCUGUUUGUGAUCGCUUAUUCCCAUAUGACUGGUUUACUUAUUUGAACAUUUGGACCUUACUUUUCUGAGAAAGAAACUACUCUGGAGAGAAGUGGGAUGAUGAAUCGGUAUUACAUAGUUUCAAACAUGGGAAUAAGCAAGGUAAUAGCCUUUUCUGUCACUAGUAUUUAUUUAGAAAGUCACUUGGAGUUUUAUAGCCAACUUCUGCCAUACCUUCCAAAAGAUUAAAAAAAGAGGAAUCAUGGUAUGGGGUUCUUCCCCACAGAGACACUGCCUAUUCCUUUGGGUGUACUAAAUCUUAAAAUGAGUUCUCACUCCUGCAGUCCAACAGCUCCCGAGAUAUUUCUAGCAAUUUUCUGGGUGGCAGUUUACACUUAUCAAUGAUUGCUAUGAGAACUCAAAAGUGAGAAGAGCAUAAAAUUAGAGAAACAAGAAUUCUCUUCAUUGCUAGAUUGAUCAAUAACCUUAGGGACCAUAGCUUCAUGUCUUUUCUUCUCAAACACACAGAAGAUAUCAAGAAAAAGAUAAUAAAACCAAAAUGAAAACCAUGGGAGUUGUAAAAGUUUUUCAGAAUAGGAAUAAAUUACACCAUGACAUAUGGAGGCAAAAGUAUAGAGACUGCUGAAUUACAAGACACACAAACAGUUUCAAUGUGUUUAAGCAUGUCUCAAAAAUUUAAAGGAUCUCAUUAAACAAUGCUAGGUAACUUUCUUUCAAGUAGGUGUUAUUGGUAUUUAAAAAAGUAUCAAGAUAGUUGCUAGGGGGCAAACUAGCCUUUUGACAGAAACUGGCGAUAUGGAAAAACACAUUAGAGAAUCUCCUUCUAAGUUUUACUGUCUGAGAAAUUUAGUUUUGCCAGGGCACACAGUAUGGCCACAUUUAGGGAGAAUGACAGAAGCAAAACAAAGUUGGAGGAAACUAACAUCUAACUUAGCCUAACAGAAGGAUUUACAAAAGGCAGUGAGCAUUCCUUGUGUAAUAGAUAUUUACAUUUACGCUCUAGGGCAAUGUCUAUACAUAUCAGGGUAUUUGGGAAGCAAAUUUAGUAAUAAGAAAUUCUUUAGGUCACCAGGGAUGAUUUGUUUUAAGACUAAUUCAUUUAAUAAAACAACAAAAUGUGAUUAAAACUAUUUCCAUCCUUUUAUAACUAACAUCUCGUAUGGCAGGCACAGGAGUGUGCCAGGUUCAGACUUUCCCCUCCUUAGUCAAUGUUAGGUGAACGGUGGUACAAUCUUAUUUUUUACUCUCCUUUUUCCCAGUGUCCUUGCAUGUGUCCAAUCUUUUGUUAAUAUUAAUAGGAUUCUUCAGAAACGGUAUAUAAUAAAUAGUGAGGUAUUUCUUUCCUUCCUCUGCCCUCCCCUUAUGCCCUCUUUCUCCCUCCCCUCACCUCCCCUUCCCUCCCCUUCCCUUCCAUUUCUUUCUUCUUUCCAUCCUCCUUUCCUCCCUGCUUCCCUCCCUUCUCUCUUUCUUCAAAACCUGUACUUGGUUGUAAUUUUAUGAAGAAACACUUUAAACAUAAAAUGUAGAAUGUAUAACAGACACACAUGCUUUGUUCCCCUUCUAGCUUAAAUAAAUAAUAUUUAUUUGCCGUUAAAUGUGGGUUUGAGGUUUAUGCCCUUUGUCAGUUUAAGGAAAUUCUUUACUAUCUCAUUUGCUAACAGUUUUUCUACUGAAUGAGUGAAUCAUAUUUCCAUUUCUGGUACUGGCAAUGUUUGAUGAUGGGGCAUUGUUAUUUUUUGCUCUGAUAAAUUUGAUUUGCUCUUAUUUAGGAAUUUAGCUGCUAUUUCAAAAACUGGGUCUGGUGUGUUUAUUGUAUUUCUUUGCAUAAUUUUGAUUUUGGAUUAUAAAUUCAUUAUAGAAUGAGUUGGAUACCUUUGUUUUUUAGUCUUUGAAACAAUUUGCAUUGUAUAAAUUUAUCUGUUUUUAGAGAUUUAGAUUUGUUAAAGGUUUUCUUGAAAUUAUGUGACCUGAGCUUUUUGAAGAGUUAUGUGUGUAUAUGUGUGUGUGUUUGUGUGUGUCAGGGG